rnacentral:rRNA from 1 species
UACAGAGACCUCGAGCAUUAUCCGGAUUUAUUGGGCGUAAAGGGUCCGCAGGUGGCCGUUCACGUCAUUGGUCAAAGCUCUGGGCUCAACCCAGAAAAGGCUGGUGAUACGGAAUGGCUCGAGCAUGGGAGAGGUACGCAGAAUUCCCGGUGUAGUAGUAAAAUGCGUUAAUAUCGGGAGGAAUACCAAAUGCGAAGGCAGCGUACUGGAACAUUGCUGACACUCAGGGACGAAAGCGUGGGGAGCGAAA